CGGGGUGUGGCGCAGUUGGCUAGCGCGCAGCGUUCGGGACGCUGAGGCCGGAAGUUCAAGUCUUCUCACCCCGACCA
rnacentral:tRNA from 1 species